AACGAACGCUGGCGGCAUGCUUUACACAUGCAAGUCGAACGGUAACAGGCCGCAAGGUGCUGACGAGUGGCGAACGGGUGAGUAAUGCAUCGGAACGUGCCCAGUCGUGGGGGAUAACGCAGCGAAAGCUGCGCUAAUACCGCAUACGAUCUAUGGAUGAAAGCGGGGGACCGUAAGGCCUCGCGCGAUUGGAGCGGCCGAUGUCAGAUUAGGUAGUUGGUGGGGUAAAGGCUCACCAAGCCAACGAUCUGUAGCUGGUCUGAGAGGACGACCAGCCACACUGGGACUGAGACACGGCCCAGACUCCUACGGGAGGCAGCAGUGGGGAAUUUUGGACAAUGGGCGCAAGCCUGAUCCAGCAAUGCCGCGUGCAGGAAGAAGGCCUUCGGGUUGUAAACCGCUUUUGUACGGAACGAAAAGGCUCUGGUUAAUACCUGGGGCUCAUGACGGUACCGUAAGAAUAAGCACCGGCUAACUACGUGCCAGCCGCCGCCGUAAAAC
rnacentral:rRNA from 1 species